CACGGUAGAGCAUUUAUCAAGAUGUUCCAUAUUAAAAAAAUAUAUUCUGUUUUAAGUGAUUAUAAAACUAAUAAAAGUACUGGUUCAGGUUUGUUUGUUUAGAAGAAAGGGCCAUGUGGUAAGUAGGAAGUUGGGAAUCUAAUCGCCAACUAAUGCAUAAUUUCAUUGAACCACAUACAACUUUUUUUUGAAGACACCACAUACAACUUUUUAUUUCUAUAAAUAUGAAAGGCAUCGAAUUAUACCUUUUUCUCGUAAAGGGAAAAUGCAUCGAUCAAAUGUACUUAAAUAUAUUCACCUCAUAUUAUUUUAUGCUCCCAUGGCGAUUUCAAAUUUCUGAUACACAUACAGAGGUGAUUAAUACAUCAAUACAUACAUAUAUUGCAUGAUAGAUCCACAAAACAAAAGCCAAAUAACUACUCCCGGUUAUAGUUAAUAUUUUAAUACUCAAAAUUAAAAUUCAAGCUAUAGAAAAGUGAAGAAGACCCCUCUAACUGGUCAUGCAUAUCAAGACCAUUGAUAAUGAUAUAUAGUCAAAUUACUAUAGAAAAGUGGUUUGCCAAAGGAUUGGAGUUGCCCUGAAGUGUGUCUAGAGUGAGAAUAAUUGUGCUUUAAUCUCACUAUCACCACACCGUUACCUCCAAAUUAAUUAGAAUCAUAAUAUGAAUGAUGAUUUUGUCCACCGCCACCUUCAUCAUCAAUAUCCUUCAUCAUAUGCUUGAGCCAUAAAAUAGCCAACUUGGGUGGUGGGAAAAGCAUUGCUUGGAGGUGCAAAGAGAGAAAAUUACUUGAUCGAGCUUUUAACUUGUGGAAUAAUAAAGGAACUAUGUUGGUGUAUAGUAGCAUAGUGGUUGGAAGGGUUUAUAAAGAAGAAAAAGCAAAGGUAAAAGGGUUUAAUUGUAACUCAGAUCUCAGCAUCUUCCAAAGUAUAUGCGUGGAAUCGACCAACUUCAAUGCUCCAUAUACUUUGAUCCACCCUCUUUUUAGGUACUUUUCUCUUUUCAAAAGCCACAUUGGUAAAACCUUUUUUUAUUUUAUUAAUAAA
rnacentral:lncRNA from 1 species